rnacentral:misc_RNA from 1 species
UCUCCGUAGGUGAACCUGCGGAAGGAUCAUUACUGAGUGAGGGACCCUCGGGGACCAACCUCCAAACCGCGUUUAACGAACCUUGUUGCUUCGGCGGGCCCGCCUCACGGCCGCCGGGGGGCAGCUGCCCCCGGGCCAGAGCCAGCCGAUGCCACCUGUGAACGCUGUCUGAAGGAUGCAGUAAGAGACAAUUAUAAAAUUAAGUAAAACGUUCAACAACGGAUCGCUUGGAUCAGGCACCGAUGAAAAACGAAGAAGACAGGAAGAGAACCCAGUUGA